UACGAGGGGAGCAAGCGUUGUUCGGAAUCAUUGGGCGUAAAGGGCGCGUAGGCGGCCUGCACAAGUCCAGGGUGAAAGCCCUCGGCUCAACCGAGGAAUUGCCUUGGAAACUGUGCGGCUUGAGUAUUGGAGAGGAAGGCGGAAUUCCCAGUGUAGCGGUGAAAUGCGUAGAUAUUGGGAGGAACACCUGUGGCGAAGGCGGCUUUCUGGACAAUCACUGACGCUGAGGCGCGAAAGCGUGGGGAGCAAACAGG
rnacentral:rRNA from 1 species